rnacentral:rRNA from 1 species
GACAGAGGGUGCAAACGUUGCUCGGAAUUACUGGGCGUAAAGCGCACGUAGGCGGCUAUUCAAGUCGGGGGUGAAAGCCCGGGGCUCAACCCCGGAACAGCCCUCGAAACUAGAUAGCUAGAAUCUUGGAGAGGCGAGUGGAAUUCCGAGUGUAGAGGUGAAAUUCGUAGAUAUUCGGAAGAACACCAGUGGCGAAGGCGACUCGCUGGACAAGUAUUGACGCUGAGGUGCGAAAGCGUGGGGAGCAAACAGG